rnacentral:rRNA from 1 species
GAUGAACGCUGGCGGCGUGCCUAAUACAUGCAAGUCGAGCGAACAGACGAGGAGCUUGCUCCUCUGACGUUAGCGGCGGACGGGUGAGUAACACGUGGAUAACCUACCUAUAAGACUGGGAUAACUUCGGGAAACCGGAGCUAAUACCGGAUAAUAUAUUGAACCGCAUGGUUCAAUAGUGAAAGACGGUUUUGCUGUCACUUAUAGAUGGAUCCGCGCCGCAUUAGCUAGUUGGUAAGGUAACGGCUUACCAAGGCAACGAUGCGUAGCCGACCUGAGAGGGUGAUCGGCCACACUGGAACUGAGACACGGUCCAGACUCCGACGGGAGGCAGAAGUAGGGAAUCUUCCGAAAUGGGCGAAAGCCUGACGGAGCAACGCCGCGUGAGUGAUGAAGGUCUUCGGAUCGUAAAACUCUGUUAUUAGGGAAGAACAAAUGUGUAAGUAACGAUGCACGUCUGGACGGUACCUAAACAGAAAGCCACGGCUAACUACGU